rnacentral:lncRNA from 1 species
UUUUUUUUUUUUUUUGGCUUAAAAAACAUUGCCCAUGGAAUUUAAAGACUUUGGGGUUAUUAAAGUUACUAAAACUGCUUUUUAAGUGAGUAAAGGAAAGCAGAAGACUUGGUUUGUGAUAUAUUUUCAUAGAAAGAUGAGACUCUUCCUGACUGUAUGGUGUGUAUUCUAGUCUAGAUUUUGGUUUGAAGAGUUCCCAUUGCUUUAUCUGAAAUCCUGUGCUGUGUCAAAAUUGGCUGGUCUGUUUUUCAUUGCUUCUGAAUAUAAUGUAAACAUUGCAUUCAUUUCAAUUUAGCCCAAUUGAGUAAAUUUUUUUUCUAGAACUUGUCGGUGGGCAUGACCUUUAUAGCUUGUCUUUUGAAAUUAUUAUUAAUAUAUAUAUAUAUAUUUUUGCCAGAAUGGUAGUUUUCCUUUGGACUCAGGAGGAAUUUAGAGGUCCAGAGGUUAUUGGUAUGAGAGGAGCACUAUCGAAAAGGUUUGAAUUUCUAUCUUCUCUUAAAAGAAUGAUGCUGCCAAUCAAUCAGUGUUUUGUUUCCACAUAAGAAGUGUCACGAGUCAGUUGAUCUAUCAUCCUUGACCUGGAAGAAGAGACUGUUCCUUGCCAUUUCUGUCAUUCCCAGUAAAACGUCACUUACAAGGUAACCUUUACCAAAAGAGAAGCUCCAAAAAAGAACAAAGUAAUCAAGAUAAUUCAGUAACUGUUGAAAAUAGUAAUCUAUCUCAAAGGCAAUGAAGAUCAGUUAAAUUUUAUUAAGCAUGAAAUACUUCUAAAAAAGAAGUGGAAAUUCAAGCCAUUGAUUUUUUUUUUUUUCUGACAUGAUUCCCUGUAUAGAGAUCUAUAUCUAUAUCUUCACAUAGGUAUAGACAUGUAGAUACACACACGACUUAGCUGUAACAGGAGUUUAAAUAUCAAGUAAAAAAUGUUGUUAGUCAUGUUUUCCAAUUUGUGGGUUAUAUAAUGUUAACUUUAGAUGUUAAUUUCUUAACAAAUGCUAUAGGUUGCAUACAUUAUAUCAAACCAACCACCUUUGGGAAUGUCUAUAUAAAUAAACUCUUGAGACUUCAAACAUAUGAAAAGGUGGGUUCUACUGUGUACAUUUUAUUGGAAAGCCAUUGAUGAUUGAAGAGCAUAAAUAGGUGGGGCAUUUAAUUUCCAUUUUCCAAACGGCUUGUUUUUUGACUCUGCUCAAGCAUCAUGGGUAGAGUACCGUUAUUCCUGAACUCUUGCACAAGUUUCCUUGCACAGUUGGGCCAAUGGGUUGUUGUAUUUUUUUUUUUUUCAGGAUUCACUGCCUGGGGUAUCCCACUAUGUAUAUCUCACUUAUGAUGUAGUGGUGCUUGAAAACCCUCAUCUCGUUAGCUGGACUUUUAUUAUUCUAGUCUAAGAUUUUUGAUACUAUUCAUAUUAUGAUCUCUUUAGGGACAAUCAGUAAUAUUUGGGGCAGAGUACAGAGGAGUCUCUUGAAGUCUGCAACAGCAUGCAUUUUCUUUGUUUUUCUGGGGGUGCUCUCUUAUAGUUGUCCCUGUUCUUCUAGAACAUUGCUCUAAAUUCAUCACCAUGGGAUGUAGGGCUAGUAGCCCAUGUGCAAGUUUUCUGUAUUCUCCCUGUGAGUUACUGGGUUAUUCUAACAAGAGUUCCAAGGAAUGUUCAAUUUUUAAUUUGACAUUUGCUUUUUGAGAAUCUGGAAGUAGACAAUUGAAUGUGAGGGUGGUAAAGGAGCAUGGGCAGUAGGAAGGAGGAGAUAAGAGGGAAAAAAAUGCCCCCUUAAAGGAGGAGCAAAUAGCAACCUCAAUCUAUGUCAUCUGUAUUUAAAUCGUGGGAGGACAAGAAUAGCUGCUGCCAUGCACCAAGCUUCAGAAAACAACUGGAGAGAAAAAUUCUGUCUGGGAGCAGUGGAGAUGUGGCCUCAGGUCUAGAGCAAAAUAGAUAGGCAGAUGUGCCCAAGACAGUAAGAAGAUACUUGCCUAAAAGGAGAGAAAUCUGUAAUGGGAUCACAAGUUAAGACAAAAUAUAUAGGAGCUAAAGAGCCGUCGUGGAUGACUAGGAGUAAUGUAGACAAGCACAAUUGGUCCUUCUAGAACAGCCUGCCAAAUUCCAUUCCAGAUGUUUCAGUUGAAGACAUAGGGAAUGGGUUCAGCUGAUGAGAGAAUGCAAGGAGGCCCCCCGGCGUUCUCUGCACACUAGACGCUCUAGAGUUGGUUGCUGAGUCAUUACAAACUAAUACCACCCUCUUACCAGUGAAAUGCAGUGCCCCUGCCUGUGGAUGUUUCCCAACUGAGUAGGUCAAUAGUAUUGGAAGACUCAUUCAAGAAUAUUUUCGUUUUUCAAUCCUGAUUGUUGUCAUUUCUUCUAUUUUCUUUAUUCCUGUUUGCCUCACUUGACAGUUGCAGGUGGGGAGGCUGGUUUCAGCUUGGGGUGGGUACAAACUCCCCAACCCAAGCCAUGCAGCUGGUGAACAGGGUUCCCGCCAUUUCUUCCAGCCCCACUGGUGGGUUCCCCGGCCCUCUUGAUACCUAAUACUCCAGUCAAAUGGCUAGAUUAAUGCUGCUCUAGAGGCUAACUCAAGUCCUUGACAUGUUUCAUUUACAAGUAUGUGGAUUAUUUAUUUUAGGAGCUUUUCUUUUAAAGGGCCAAAUAGCCCUACAGAUAAAUGAGCUGCUGGGCUGUGUAGAAAAUAUUGUUCAAAUGUUGCCAAAUAAUUGACUUUGUAAGGGGGAUAUUAAGCUGCUGUUUAUAAAUCUGAAUGUCUUAAAAGCAUUCUUGCUUGCUCUCUCUGUUGUAGAUGGUGUCUUAGCAAGUCCUGAGUUUUUCCAAUGAACCCAAUUUUAAUAUAUGGUAUUUUUGUAUGCCAAACUGGUGUCUUGUCCUUUGUAUAUGUGGUAAUGUUGAUUUUAUGACUACUGUUAAAACACAUUUGCUAUGAUUAAAAUUCAUAAAACGAUUUCAAA